UACGUAGGGGGCAAGCGUUGUCCGGAAUUAUUGGGCGUAAAGAGCUCGUAGGCGGUUUGUCGCGUCUGCUGUGAAAACCUAAGGCUCAACCUUGGGCUUGCAGUGGGUACGGGCAGACUAGAGUGCGGUAGGGGUGACUGGAAUUCCUGGUGGUAGCGGUGGAAUGCGCAGAUAUCAGGAGGAACACCGAUGGCGAAGGCAGGU
rnacentral:rRNA from 1 species